AACACGCCACUGAAAGGAGAAUUUAAUCAGGACAGACUAUCAGUUCUUAAGUAGAAGGACAAACAGAAAACAAACCAAACAAACAAAACCUCACUGGGCCUAGCAGAUGUGACUUCUCAUGAGUCCUUUGAAGGAAGGAUUUGAAGGAUUCAGUCCUUUGAAGGACUGAAGAGGACAGCAGAGCCUGAAGGAGGAGUUACUACAGUUUUUGCAAUGACAUGACCCUGUGAGUGAGGAGCUUGCUCAGCUUUGACUUCUGAGGCCCUCGUCAAGGAUAUUAAAAUCCUGCACAGCGUUGUCUUAUGGAUGGGGAUUACUUUAUGUAGAAGAAUUUGAAGACAGAUCUGUGGACAAGAAAAAUAUUUGGUGGUUUCCCUAAUCUCUGGAGUAAAAGGAUUGCCUCAUGCUGUGCCUCUAACCCUGGUGGAGCUCCUGGAAGUGCAGAUGUUAUUCAUAGUCGUAUAAAUAUCUGAUCCCUGGGAAUCUCCCUGAGCUCUCUGCUUCAGUGAUUUCCUUCACUGGUGAAUACAGAUGGAUUCUGGGUCACGCUCAAGGUACUGCUUUUAAAAUGGAGAUCUCAUUGUUCCCCUGCCAUUGACCUGCAUGUUUAUUGAAAGGAAUCUUCAAGAAAGAGUUUUUCUGACCCAUCUAUUACAUUUGUUGUCCCUGCUAAACCAGACUUUAUUGCUCCUAUUCGAUAAACGCAUCCACAAAUGUAUUUGCUCACUUACAACUUAACAGUUGAACACGUUGACAGUUAUCAUUUAGUGUUUCCUGAUAAAGUUCAGGAGGUCUCACCUCUCGUAAUAUAACCAUUGAUUCACACAACUACACAGUGUUACUUUUCAUAUUAUUUUACAUACUUGGUUUAAUAUUAGCAAGUAUUCUGUUGCCUCUUGAACACUAAACAGCUUUCUCAUUGAACUAUUUAUAAUGAUUUCUAAAUGUUUUACCUCAGAGACUCGAGGUAAUUCAGAGCCCUCAGUGUUCAUGGGAAGUUUAAAUUAGGCUUCUCAAUAUGCAUUACUUUGCACUUAUCUACACUAAAUUUAAUCUAUCAUCAUAUUACCCAAUCACCUGGGUUAAUUAGAUCCUUCUGGAUUUACUCAUAAUCGUGCAAGGUUUUUGCUAUAACCUAAAUCAUUUUUUGGCCAUCAGCAGAAAUUUAACAUCUCAGUUCCUAAGCCGUCGUCCAGGUCGCCAAUAUGUUUUGGCAGUCCUGAGGCUGCCAUCCACAUCUGGAGAACCCUUCAAAGAAGCUGCUUCUUUUGGAGAAAUGCGUGCUUUUCUGUCAAGUACCUUCAUCCACAUGUAUUUACAAGGAAGUAUAGCGCUAAAAUUCUACCAUGUCAUAAAAUAAAUUCUUAAUAUAUUUUUAAAGAAAUUUCAGAUUUGCGUUGAAAUAUCUUCUCUCAAGAAUAUUGUAUGCAUGUUAUGUGGGAAGAAAUAGAGACUUAAAGAAUAAGUCAGUUCCAAAUCUUCUCAUGUAGGUAAAAGUUUUAUGUCUCUACAGGGCCCAGGGGAAAGAAGGAGAAAAAUGAAGAUUUAAUGAGGGCCUGGUAGAAGUUUCUGUUAUCUGCUCGGGAAGAUGUAAUGAGCCUCACUGAAGUUGCUAGGCUUUACUUGACAUUCCUGUGUGGAUCUUCCAUAGUAACCUAGACACUGAGGACGACUUCAUCAUCCUGUGAUUACCAAAACCACAAACCUAGGUCAGAGGGGAACAACAGUUUAGAACAGACCAUUUAUUCCUACGACACAGAGUUAAAGCCUUCCUAACUGGAUAUGCCUUUUUCGUAGAUAUUACAUAUGAUGUUUUCAUAUGUGUUCCUUAACUUUUUGGAUGAAUUAUAUAGAAUGCGUAGAUGUGUAUAAAAUGAGAGUGUACUCUCAUUUCAUGAUGAAACAUUAUAGCACAUAUUUUUCUAUUUAUUUCUAGAAUUGUUUAUUGGUGGCAUAAUGCCUCAGACAUUGCUUCUUAAGAGUCUUCUAUUUAUUGAGAAAUGACAUUUUAAAGAGAAUGACCUGGGACAAAAAAAACUGCAUGCAGUGUUUGUGUGUUAUACCAUAUAGUAGGUGACUCUGGGAUAGAAAUAAAGUUUAAAACAAACUGACACUGUCUACCAAUAAAAACAUUUGUUUUGUGAAUAUCAAGGAAGGCUUAUGGCAGAAUUUAAAAGGAAUCCUUAGACUUUAUCUUUCUCUGCCUUUGCUGAGCUUCCUACGAUGAAAUUCUAAUGGCUCAUGGUCAACUGUUGACGCAGAAGGAGUGGCCAAUUCUGAAUUUUCACUUGCAGUUAGAGGAAAUAUGGAAGAAAACUAAAUUCUACUCCCUCAUCUGAAUUUAAAAAAAGAAUUCCUCUGGUAAUGAGCAAUAAAUCUUCCCUAGUUAUAAUUAAUCCAGGCCGUUCUUGAUCCACAUCUUUGUAUCUAGAAAUGUAGAUGGGGUCACUCACUCCAGAAGAGGAUGAACCAAGAGAAACUCAGUUUUCAUUUCCUCUAAAGUCAUUCAGUGUUUACAGACAAACUUACAUCUAACUUUGAACUCAAAGAAAGACACACACACACACACACACACACACACACACACACACACAUUAUUCAAAGUAUACAAACAUAUAGUAGAAGACAUAAUACAUGCAAAUAAAAGCAAGUUUAUAUUUUUAAGUGACUUCUUCCCAGAGUCCUUUACUGUUUCCGGUGGUGACUUAAGGAUGUCUCAAGGAGGUAAUGGGUUGAUUACUAUCAAGACAAGUUCUGAACAAAUUUGUAAGUUCUAGAAAAGCAAAGUAAGCUUAAGGGAGAACAAAAAUGUCCUGUAGUCUAGUUAGUUAAUUUAGAACUUCUAAGGACACUUUAAUUUUUGUUUUGUUUUGUAUCAAAUGUACUUACUUAUAACUAUAAUAAACGCCAAACUCCAGCAAAAAUGAGCAUUUUCUGUUGAAAUGAACUGCUAUUAAAACAUAGGUAAGUUAUUUAAAACCUCAGAAAAAGAUGAACAUCACUUGAGAAAGAAAAGGUAAUUUUUUUCACUUACUAUUUUUAUACUUUAAAUCACUUCUUUUAUUAAUGGGGUUAUAAUAUAAUUACAUCAUUUCCCACCUAACUUUUAUUCCUAUAAAUCCUCUCAUAUUACAUCUUUGUUUGCUUUUAAAUGCAUAACAUCUUCUAAUCAAUUAUCCUUAUAUACAUACACACACACAUACAUACAUACAUACAUGCAAUCCUAAAUACAUAGAAACAAUCUUCGUAGUCUUUACAAUGUUCCUUACACACAUGCUUUCGAUGAUGACCUUUCUUUUAAACUGUCAAUGUAAGCAGCAUAAUUAAUUCCUAAACUUCAGGAGGCACUACACUUUGUUUGUAGGCUUUUGAAAAUGUUUUGCUUUCAUAUUUACUUGAAAUCUGAAUUUCUGGGUAUUUACAUACAUAACCAUUUAUACUGUGACCUAGACAUCCUGCAUCUAGAGGAAGAUGUCCUCUCAGUGUGGCUUUGUAUUUACGCCACAGGCAAAUUCACCAUUUCUAUGCCUAUCUGAUUGCUUGUUGGUUAUUGGGAUAUCAGGUGACCAUUUCUUCUUGCUGUAGGGAUGGUAAUGUUGGGAUGGUAACAGAAAUACUCAUUAAAACCCCUCCUUCCUCCUUCUACUCAUCUUCCAUGACCAGAUAGUGAGUAAAACUAAAUUCAGCUUCAGCAAUAAUAAUAAUGAGGUUUCCUGGAGGCAAAUUUUAUCUUAUAGGAACAGUAAAGCAAGACUGAUGGCUGUGUACAGUUUACUACAGGGGUGACCAGAGGAUCACACUAACAAGCAUGGUCUGCACAUACCCUUGGAAGACUAUUCUGGCAUCAUAGACUUGGAGAGAAGUAGAUGAUUCUGGCUUGAAUAGAUCUACAAUCAUCACCCUGUACCCUAUCCAAAGAGACUAUUAGAUUCUCAGAUCCUAAAGGAUGAAGAAUUGUUGAUAUUUGUCCACUUGUAUUUCAAAGGAAUAAACUUGAUAUUUAAACAUUAAAAAAUAAACCACACAAACUAAAGGACAACAACACAACUGAGUAACUAAACCAACAAAAUCAGUUUGAUUAUCUUUUUACUAAACAGGUAUUGUCUUCUGCUGUCAGGGGAUACAAUGUAUUCUCUCAACACUCAAGGGUAGGGAUUCAGUUGUCUGGGACUUCAGAGAUUAAUGGGAACCAAACCGACUAGAACAACUUCUCUGUAGAUAAAUGAACAAAGAGAGCAGCAUGGCAUCUGGCUUGGCAUCGUUUUAUAUUUCCUUUGUUCUAAAUGAUAUCUCAGUAAGCCGCUCCACGAUGAAGAUGAAUCGAUACCUGAAAAGAAGAUACCGAUUGCACUGCAUUAAAAUCGAAGACUGUUGUGGAAAUCAGGAAGGGGAGUUCGCAAGGAAGCGGCAGCCACAGGGUAUGUGUCUGUUCUCUGGACACCUGGAAUCCUGGAACCCUGUAUUUAAACAAGCAGGUAAGUGCAGGCUUUCCUCGGCACUGUGCUGGGUCCCACAGCAGUGUUCUCACCCACUUCCACUUGGUACAACAUCCUUUUUGUAUCUCUUUGAGCUUUGCUCGAGAUAGUUGGCACAUGUAUAUUGCUCUGUCUACAGUCCUACUUGGAUGCCACAGUUGCUGGUAUUCAUAAGCAUCAGCAUCUCAUCGCAACAUCCGACACGUUGAUGUUCGAAGCAGCCUGCCCUACAUCAUCCUGGUAUUCCAGAACACAGUCUUGAGAGCUUUUGCAUUAAAUGCUCUUAGCAUGUUCACAAUUUAACUACCUAUUUGCCAGUUAUAUGGUCUCUGUAAUUUAAAGGUAUCUACCACAGGAGUGAGUCACUCUUGCAAUGAAAGCCUUACUACUGCAUUUGACCAUUAUGAAGCUGUUAGGAUUAGGACCAACAGACUCUGCUCUGGUUUUCAUCCCCCUCCUCUUUAGACCCACACUGAAUCAAGUGCACCUCUCUUGAAGAAAUUGUUAUAUCUGGACUCUGACAGUUUUUUAAAUGCAUUCAAGUUGAAUAAAUAAAUAGAUGUAAAAUGUAUAUUGUAUUUAAAAAUACAUGUAUUCAACUGAAAUCAAUAUUUCAUACACUUGCAGGCAAUUUAGAGUAAGACUAAAGUUUGUUGUAUAUUUGAUUCCAUGAUGCAUAAAAAUUAUGGUUUAUUAUUCAUUUGUCUUCACACUAAAAUAUAAUCAAAUAAACAUCACUCAUUUUUAUGAUAAACUUUAAAUAAUACAAAGA